GGCAGCGGGUGACCGGCCACCGUGGCGCUCCGCGCACACGAGGAAAGUCCCCCCACCCGCCGGGCAGGCGACCGGGCGCAAGCCCGGGACGGGAGACCGUCGGCUCUGGAACAGAAACGAGACCCCUCCCGCCGAGCGAUGAGGCGCGCGAACCCGACCGCGAGGAAGGGGAGUCGACCCGCCGAGCGCCGACGCGGGAGAACGGAUGGAACGGCGAACCCUCGCCGGUGCAAGCCCGCGGCGGGAAGGUAGCCCGGCGACGACACGCCGCGGGCGCUCAGCCGAAUGCCGGCCAGAACAGAAGGGGGCUUACGGCCCGCAGCC
rnacentral:RNase_P_RNA from 1 species